GAUGAACGCUGGCGGCGUGCCUAAUACAUGCAAGUCGAACGAACAGAUAAGGAGCUUGCUCCUUCGACGUUAGCGGCGGACGGGUGAGUAACACGUGGAUAACCUACCUAUAAGACUGGGAUAACUUCGGGAAACCGGAGCUAAUACCGGAUAACAUAUUGAACCGCAUGGUUCAAUAGUGAAAGGCGGCUUUGCUGCCACUUAUAGAUGGAUCCGCGCCGUAUUAGCUAGUUGGUAAGGUAACGGCUUACCAAGGCAACGAUACGUAGCCGACCUGAGAGGGUGAUCGGCCACACUGGAACUGAGACACGGUCCAGACUCCUACGGGAGGCAGCAGUAGGGAAUCUUCCGCAAUGGGCGAAAGCCUGACGGAGCAACGCCGCGUGAGUGAUGAAGGUCUUCGGAUCGUAAAACUCUGUUAUCAGGGAAGAACAAAUGUGUAAGUAACUGUGCACAUCUUGACGGUACCUGAUCAGAAAGCCACGGCUAACUACGUG
rnacentral:rRNA from 1 species